rnacentral:lncRNA from 1 species
GGAAGCUCCCCCGUUUCGAAUGUUGCGUCGAAUGUGACUUGCGAAAGGUGUACUUCACUCCCCGUGACACGGGCCUCGCUUUUGUCACCUCAGAUUACUGGCCUCGCUUUUGUCACCUCAAAUUACUACACCGCCAUCGGCCGGUGAAGGGCAAAAACCACAUGUAAUUGCAUCUCAAUUCUUGAUUAUUAUUAAGUGUGUGUGUGUGUACAGUUAAACCUCUAUAAAUUAAUAACGUUGGACUAGCAAAAUUCUAUUAAUUUAGCGAAAUAUUAAAUUAUCGAACUAAUAAUUCAGUAGGUUCUUACCGAGUCGGGAUCAGAAGAAACUAUUACUUAA